ensembl:lncRNA
AUGAGGUUAUUCCUCAUUUUUAGAUAUAUACAGUGUACUUGCCACUGGAUUCCAUCAUGUCAAGGCAGAAGGAUCCCUGAAGUUCUUGUUUGUUUCUGCUGUCUAAAGCCAUUACCUUCCACCUCCUUAAGGACUCAGCACCACAGCUUUCAAGUCAAGGCCAAAGAUGCUACAUCUCCAGAAGUGGAAUACUCAGUUCUCACCAGUGGAACUGCCCUCCCUGUUCUCAAAAUCCCCUGAUUUUGGAGCCUUUGGAUUCAGGGUGAAUUACACCUCUGGCUUUCCUGUCUCCAGCUUGUAGAUGGAAUACCAGGGUAGCUUUCAGCCUCCAAACUCACAUGAGCCAGUUACCAUAAUAAAUCUCAUAUAUCUCUGUACAUAGGUUAUUGUUUCUGUUUCUUGGUAGAACCCUGACAAAUACACAUCCUAUAAUUUUGCUUUUUAUAUAAUACCUUAUGAAUGGAAUCAAGCAAUAUGUGACAUUUUGACUGUGGUUUCCUCUGCUUAGCAAAAUGUAUUUGAGAUAAAUCUAUGUUGUUGUGAAAAUUAAUAAUAGUUAUUUUCUUUAUUUGCUUAGAAAGUUUCACUGUAUCACUGCACUAGUUUCUUUAUCCCUUCACUGAUGAAAGAACAUCUGAAUCAUUUCCAGUUUUGGGUAAUUACCCAUAAAGUUGCUGUAAAUAUUCAUGGAAUGGUUUUUAUGUUAAUAGAGUUUUUCAUUUAUCAUGUGUAAAUGCUGAGCAGUAGGAUUACUGGGUCCUAUGGUAAGUACAAGUUUAAUUUUAUAAUAGAAUAAAAAGUUUAAAAAUAGAUUCACACACAAAUAUUUAUUUAAAUUAUAGUAACUAUGAUGCAAUUGAAUGGGGGAAAGCAUGGUCUUCUCAAUAUUAUGCUGUGGCCGAUUAAAGAUGCUCACAAAUUUGUUCGCAUUUUUUUUCCAUUGAGAUGUGGUUCCUUCCCUUGAAUCUGAGCUGUUUUGUGACUGCUUUCACCAACACAACAUGGUGGAGUUGAUUAUAAUGCGAUUUCUGGACCUUGUCAUAAGUGGGCUGGUAGCUUCUACCGUGGAUUCUUGAAACCAUGAGCUGCUGUGUAAAAACUUCAACUACUCUGAGGUCACUGCUCUGUGAAAAUCCCAAGCCACACUAAGAAGUCCCAGAGGAUGAGACACUAUGUGGAGAUUAAGAAAUAGAGAGGGGCCAAGAAGCCCAGGCACCAGACACAAGAGUGGAGAAGCCAUUGCGGAAGUAGAUCCUUCAAACCCAGGCAUCUUCGCAGAUAAUAUAGAGCAGAGAUGAACCACCUUGCCAAGCCUUUCUGUAAUUCCUGACCCAAAUAAUCAUGAAAAAAAAUGAGUGUUUUACCCCUUUUAUUUACUAACAUUAUUUAUUUUAAACUUCUAAGUUUUGGGAUAGUUUUGUCAGUUUUGGUUUGGUUGGUUUUUGGCAGAAAUUGAUCACUAGAACAGCACUGAAACAAUCAUAUAUCCAUAUUAAAAUAAAAUAAAAUUUGACCUCUACUUCACUUCUCAUGCCCAAAAAUUAAUUUGAAAAUGGAUUAUUGCUCUAAAUGUAAAAGGCAAAAUUAUAAACAUCUGAAAAGGAGGAGAGAAUCUUUACAACUUGGAAUUGGUCAAAAUUCCUUAAACAAAGUUCAGAAAACACUAAGCCUAAAAGGAAACGUCGAUAAAUUAUAUUCCAAGAAAGCUAAAAACUUCUGUUUUUUGAAGAUAUCAUGUAGCAUUUAAAAAAGUUUGCAUAGAUUUGGGACAAGGCAUUCACAAUACAUAUAUUUGCUUAAGGUUUUGUUGUAUAUUGAUAUAGUUUAGAUAUUUGUACCCUCCCAAGUCUCAUGUUGAACCGUAAUUUCCAGGGUUGGAGGUGGGGCCUGAUGGGAGGUGUUUGGAUCAUAGGGGUGAAGAUCCCUCAUGAAUGGCUUUGGCCAUACCCUUGAUAAUAAGUGAGCUCUCACUGAGUUCACACAAGAUCUGCUCAUUUAAAAUUGUGUAGCACCUCCUCCCACUCUCCCCACUUUUCUCCCACUCUUGCUUUUGCCGCAGGACAUGCAAGCUCCCACUUCACCUUUUGCCAUGAGUAAGUUUCAUAAGGCCUCCCAGAAGCAAAUGCCAGUGCUGUGCUUCCUGUACAGCCUGCAAAACUGUGAGCCCAAUCAAACCUCUUUUCUUAUAAAUCACCUAGUCUCAGGUAUUUCUUUAUAGCAACUCAACAAUAGCCUAAAACAUGUAUCUUUUCCAGUGUCUAUUUUCAACCUAUCUAUAUUUUAUCCUUCUUAAAAAGUUGUGUCUUAAGAACUUUAAUCUUUGUCUUUGAAAUAUUUAGUACAGUUGCCUUUGAUGUAUCUACUCAUAGUUAUUAGCUUUGUUUUCUACUUGUG